rnacentral:rRNA from 1 species
UACGGAGGGAGCUAGCGUUGUUCGGAAUUACUGGGCGUAAAGCGCACGUAGGCGGCUUUGUAAGUUAGAGGUGAAAGCCCGGGGCUCAACCCCCGGAAUUGCCUUUAAGACUGCAUCGCUUGAAUCCGGGAGAGGUGAGUGGAAUUCCGAGUGUAGAGGUGAAAUUCGUAGAUAUUCGCAAGAACACCAGUGGCGAAGGCGGCUCACUGGCCCGAUACUGACGCUGAGGCACGAAAGCGUGGGGGAGCAAACAGG